GUGGUGUGUGUGUGUGUGUGUGUGUGUGUGUGUGUAUAUAUAUAUAUACACACACACACACACAUACAUAUACCAAAU
rnacentral:miRNA from 1 species